CCCGGUAGCAUUACCGAUGGGGAAACACCUCUACCCAUUCCGAACAGAGAAGUUAAGCCCAUCAGGGCCGAUGGUACUAUGCUGGUGACGGCAUGGAAGAGUAGGUCGCUGCCGGGU
rnacentral:rRNA from 1 species